UACGUAGGGUGCGAGCGUUGUCCGGAAUUAUUGGGCGUAAAGAGCUCGUAGGCGGCUUGUCGCGUCGGAUGUGAAAGCCCGGGGCUUAACUCCGGGUCUGCAUUCGAUACGGGCAGGCUAGAGUUCGGUAGGGGAGAUCGGAAUUCCUGGUGUAGCGGUGAAAUGCGCAGAUAUCAGGAGGAACACCGAUGGCGAAGGCAGUGGGCUGGGCCGGCACUGACGCUGAGGAGCGAAAGCGUGGGGAGCGAACAGG
rnacentral:rRNA from 1 species